rnacentral:rRNA from 1 species
AUUGAACGCUAGCGGCAGGCCUUACACAUGCAAGUCGAACGAGUGGCGGACGGGUGAGUAAUAUCUGGGAACCUGCCCAAUGUAGGGGGAUAACUACUGGAAACGGUAGCUCAUACCGCAUACCAUCGGAUGUUCCCAUAUUGGAUGAGCUAGUUGGUGGGGUAAAGGCUCACCAAGGCGACGAUCCGUAGCUGGGCUGUGAGGGUGACCAGCCACACUGGGACUGAGACACGGCCCAGACUCCUACGGGAGGCAGCAGUGGGGAAUGUUGGACAAUGUGGGAAACCCUGAUCCAGCCAUCCCGCGUGUAUGAUGAAGGCCUUCGGGUUGUAAAGUACUUUCAGCGGAGAAGCGGUAUCUGCAGAAUAAGCACCGGCUAACUACGUGCCAGCAGCCGCGGUAAUUC